AGUUCCGCUUUCCCUUCUUAGCAGCCACACUGCACAUGGCUUCUAGGCAAGGUGGCCUUUGUCUGCCUCUUGGGACAGGGCUAGCUCACAUCCUUCCUCCUACACUGUGGAAGCCUUAGCUGCUGCGUGUCGCUAACACCCUGCUUGACAGGAUUUGAGCAGUAGAAACUGGAGAGGAAGAGAGAAGAGGAUUGGGAGGGGGCAGACUAAAGAUGAGAGUGGCCUCCCACUGAGCUCUGGGUCACCUUGUCUUCCCACAUUCUCAGCUCUGGUAUCACCUGUGUAGCCAAGGUCCCGUAUUAAAUUCCAUUUGUGGGGCCAACUACAAUGCCAAGGCCAACUGCAAGGGAAAGCUGGAGAGGCGAAAAUCCGUGACAACAGCAGAGACAACCACGGUCUGUACUUUCAAUUUUAAAACACCUUAUUUUCUUGAAACCAUGGCCACAGCCACAAUGACACCAGAAGUUCCUCCUGAAAGUACCUGGUGGUUAUCCAGAGGUGAGUGACUCACUUGCUGAGGAGGUCACACGAGCAUCACGCUGGGUCCUUGGCUGCUGGGGAGGGCAGGUGACCAGCCAAAACCCCAAACCUCCUCUAGCCUUCUCUUAGGUUUGGAGAUGGGGUCGGGCUCUAGCUGGAGUCCCUGAGAUAGGGCGAGAUUGUUGGGGUGUUGGGGAACUGUGAAGCUCUUCACACAGCAGCAGGGGCUGGGUGGCAGAGCAGUUAUGGCACUUCAGGCCCACAGGGAAAAACAACAAUGAAAGAGUGGGGGCCGUGGUGACUUGGGGUCCAGCAACUGGGAGGGAAGUUUUACUUCCUUUCCCACAGACGUAAUUAAAAUCAAAAGGAGCCGACUGAGGUGGGCAUGUGGCACACACUUGUAAUCCCAGCACUCAGAAAGCUGAGGCAGGAGUUCAAGGGUAGCCUGGAUUACAGAGUGACUCUGUUGAAAGAAGAAAAAGAGAGAGAGGGAAAGAGAGAGAGGCAGAGAGACAGAGAAGGAGGAGAGGAGGGGAGGGGAGGGGAGGGAAGAGGAAAGGAGAAACAAAAGAGAGUAAGGGGUCCCCAAGGGUAAGAGUGUGCAAGCCUAUUGAUCUGCGUUCAAUCCCUGGGACUCACAGCAGCAGGAAAGUGACUCCUGAAAGCUGUCCUCUGAUCUCCAUGUGCACCCAUGUACACACACACACACACAUAUAUAUGUUAUAUAUCAUAUGUGUAGAUAUUAUGUGUGUAUAUAUGUAUAUGUGAUACAUUAUGUAUAUAUACAUAUAUGUGUGUAUCUAUGAAAUAUAAGAUGGUAAAUGAGAUUUGUCAUAUAUGUGAAUAUACACACACACACACACACACACACACACACACACGAAAAAUGGCUCCUGAAGCCGGUUGAUAAGCAGAUGAAUUUGUGCACAGGAACUCUGAGGUCCUGCCUCCUGCCCUGAAGUGACGAUGGCGGGUAACUCUUUCAGGGAAGAGAUUCCCAUGGAGUGCCUCCCAUAUGAGGACGAGUGGGUGACAGCUUAGCAGACACUGAACAGUCAGACCAUGACCUACUGUAAAAAGGGUCCUUCACUCUUAGCCCAAGCUGAUUUACCCAAGAAACCUAGAGGCCGGCUUCAAGGAGGAGGCCUGAGGCAGAGCCUUAAGGGCUGCCAGACAAGCUCAUGUCUACUUUUUUGUCUUCAGUCUUGAGUGGAACCGCUCAGCUCCUGGGUCACGUGUGCCAUACGCUCAUGAGGAAAACCAGGCUCAACAUAUCUAGACCACAUAAGGCUCCAAUCUAGCAUCAGAGAGUACUGCCCAGCACCGGCUCCUACCUGUCCUUACACGCCCCACACACACUUACCCCUUACUGCUAACUGGUUUCUACCAUGCAGGACUCUGACUGCUCUGGCGAUAUGACCAUUUGCUAAUCUGCCAACUUAACAAGAAAAUGUAGUUAGUAUUAUGCAGCUAUUUCUUCCAGAUUGAAACAUGGCCUCCUCGAGGAUCAAGGGAGCCUCAGAACAUCCACGACCAACUUACAAAGACUCGCAGGGCUCCUCUUCGGGUUACCGAAGCAGGAAGUAACUGCGGGGAGGGGUUCUUCAGUGGAGCUGCUGGCUCCAGGAAUACAGAUCUUGCGCUGCCAACCAUGCUAAGAUGGGCUCUUCAGUGAUGCAGCUGUGAAAAUCACCCACACUCCUGUAAGCUAUGCAGAUAAUGGCAUCACCAAGCUGGACCUGGACAGCAUCACCUUUGGUGUAUCAGUGCCCACCCUACCUGCGAUUACCCUGGGGGGGGGGGGGCGGGGGGGGGGAGAAUCCUUCAUAGCUGGGACUUGUGCAAAGCUGAGCAAUAAAAAAAAUCAGGCAAACGAGUCAAAGAGCCAGCUAACGGAAGAUGGCUUUAGAGAUGAGAAUGGAACUGUGGCAGUACUUCCCCGACUCAAGAGCCAGGAGGUAAGAGAUCCGCGGUUUUCUGAGACAAAACACACAGCAGGUACAUUUCUUAAGGAAAUGCUGCCAUUAAAAAAUAAAUGUAGACCUGAAGGGACAGCCAUAGACCCUGCUCCUCCACUCAGUACCCCUCAGUAGGUGUGUCCCUGGUCACUUGCCCCACCCACUCCCUCUCCAGGGCACUGUGAAGACAUUAUGUAAGGGGCCAGUGUAUGGCAACCAUAGUGCAUGCUGACUUACUUGUGCCCUAGCCCACCCCUGCCCUUCCAAGAUUGAAGACAAAGACCACCCAGUCAGAUGGGGAUCUGGCUUGUUCCAGUUCCCUAUCACAAUGAUGAUCAUAAAGAAAGAAAAGAAUUACACCUUCGAAAAAUGCAACGCAGGCAGGGUGGUCCCCAGGACAGCAGCCAAGGAGAGAAGUGGGGCUUUAGUUUUCCAGAGCGUUUCUAUCCAAGCCUGGGCUCCCAGCUUGCUUCUUUAGAGCAGCCCAAAAGCAGCAACCCCCAGCCCCACAUAGACACUUUUUAAAAAGUCACUUUUCCAGAGAAAGCUGCUAGAGGCACUGUUCGUACUAGGAGACUCUGCCGGUUCAAGUGUGGGGACCCUCCCUUCCAGGCUCACUGGACAAUCUCUGUUAGAGAAAAGUCACCCUGACAAAGGUCAGAGGUAAGCCCCUGUCUUUGCCAGGAAGCUGCACCCGUCUUGCAGAACACAGCCACUCCCUCCAGUGGGACAGAGAGCAAGGGUGCCCUCCCCUUCAUUGGGAGACAACAUCUGAAAAUAGUCUUCCUAUUAGUGGCCCGCAAAGCAGCAAGCCCCUGAUGUCUCCUCUGCUCUGCUACCAUCUCUCCCAAACAGGGCCCCUGGAUGGUUCUGCCACCUCUGCUUGCUCGUGCCCCUCCUCAUGGUUUUACACUUGCAGUGACACACCUGGCCAGAGUGUAACCCUGUCCUCACCUCACUGCUCUGUGACCACAACAGACUACCCCAGCCCCUGCUCACCCGCCUGUUUAUCCUGAUCUCACCCUCUGAGCUGUAGAACAACCAAGAGCUACUUAGCACCUACAGGCCAACACUGCACCUAUCCUCAAGCACAGGCCCCUAGGAGCACGGGAUGGGGCUCCCACAACCCCUAGAGGCCAACCCAAACUGAGUGAGGAAGCCAGAAAACCAAGCCUGGGGCACAGCUAUACACAGCAGGCUUUCCUCCUGCCAACAGAGGUGAUCACUGGGAAUAAGUGGAUGCGUGCAUGGCCUCUCCCUCCACCUUGAGCUGUUGGGCUUGAUUCUUCUCCACCCCACCCCACCCAUGAGCUGCUAAAUUGGCUGGAGCUCUCAAUCAGUAAGGCAAGAGCUCUGUAUCACAAGCUGCAAAGGGUGGCUUGCUCAGCUGGGUUCAGGCAGAGCUGGCCUCAGAGCUGGCCUCAGAGCAUGCAAUCUCAAAGCACAGACCAUAAACAUAAAAUUAAAAGGUAAAGUAACAAGGGCAGAGAUGUUUACUGGAAAGUUUGCUUUUGCUGCCCAGAAAAUAUGGGCUUUUUAUAAACACACACACAUAACGCCUCUGCUGCCCACCUUUAGAAGUAUGUACUUUGCUCUAUAUGUGGCUUUUUUAUCUGCCCCUGUUACACUCAGCUCAUGACCGGGAAACCUGGAAUCAUCACCCACAUAGAAAUGACACCCUUGGCACCACCAGGGAUGAACAACACAUGGGCUGCAUUUACAGUUGCUCACCAACUAGCUCAAGGGACAAACCCCAGUUUCCCAGCAGAGGAUUAAUCCCAUGUGAAAAAAAAAUUAUUCCUGAAGCUAGGGAAGUGCUUGGGGGGUGGGGGGGGGGGGGACAACAACAACCUCAUGUUAAAGCUGGCUGCCAAUGAGGUACCCACCAGGAUGGCUUCCAGACACAAAGAGCAUCAUACCAGGAGGCAGAAGUUGGGCCACGUGUGUCACUUGCUAGCUUAGGUCCCAUCCUUCCAUGUCUCUCUCCCCAGCCAGGACCAGUGGCUUCCCAGUUCCAAGUAUUCACUGUGUGCCUGGCACAGGAAGCCCUCAUUACCACCAGUUGAGAGCCACCUACUAAAACCUGCAGUAUCACUCUGAGCCCUUCGAGGACGAAGAGCACACUAUCUGUGUCUCUAAGCACCGUCACAGCUUGCUAGUUAUUUAACUGAUGGAUUCCCUGGCCCUCUGAAUGAAUCACGGCCUAGCUCUGCCCAAUUGCCAACACCUGAAUCCCCCCAAGUCUAACUCUGCAAAGCUCCUAGUCUACCACUCAACUCUAAGAACCUUCAAGGUUAAUGCAAAUUGACACAUUCGCUGACCUCCUGUGGCUCAUGCCACACUAACUGAAUAUUCUUCACCUUUGCCUUCCUUCCAGGAAACAACCCUGUCCCUUCAUCUGAACCAGAGAUUCCAACCCAGCCGCCCUUGAUGGUUUAACAUCUACUCCAUGCCCCAACAGAUUUCUUAGAGUGCUAUAGUAGCAGCCACUCUCCAUCAAAGACAGGAACCCUUUGGCCAAAGAACCAGGGAACAACACCCACUCCUCCAUCUUUCAGAGCCCCCAGAAUGCACCAGGGCACAGCCAAGGAUCUGGCACUGAUGGAUGCCAGCACUGGCUGAGGCCUCGGUAGCAUGAACCAAGUGUGGGUGUGUGCCAUGGCCUGUUUAAUCCAUUCCUGCUCCACCCCUGGCCCCACCCCCCAAGUCUUCUGUUUCCUGAGCAGAAAUAACCAGCUGCAGAUGGUUCCACUACUUCAAAGCUCUUGAGAAACCACCGGACCCAGAGAUGCUGAGACAACCAGGCUGCCAGCUGAUGACCAAAUCUGCACAGCUAGCCCCAAGAUGCCUGAAUUCUUAGUGCGUGUGCUUUAUUUUUGUAGCCAACCACCAUCACUUUCCACCCAGAACACACAUGCCCGUCACACCAAACCACAGCCUUACAUAAGCACCUGCAGCUGUGGCUCUCAGUCCCAGUUACACACUGCAGUCACCUAGAGAAAGCCAGAAAGUACCGCCGUUCUCACCUCCACCUGCGGCAAUUCUGAACCAAGUGGUCUGAGGAUCCAAACGUUUGUAGGCAGCCGGGAUGGUUAAUACUGAUUACCAACGUCGCAGGAGCUAGAAUCACCUAGGAGAGCACUGGGCACAUCUGUGAGAGAGCCUCUAGAUUCAGUUUACUGAAAUGGGAAGGACUACCCUAACUGUGUGUGGGCAACACCAUCCCAGAGGCUAGGAACCCAGGCUGAAUCAAGAGGGAGCCAGGAGAACACAAGCAUACAAGCAUACAAGCAUUCAGCUCAUGCUCGCUCGCGCUCUCUCUCUCUCUCUCUCUCUCUCUCUGCUUCCUCGUUACAGAUGCCCUCGUUACCCAUUGCCUCACGCUGCUGUCACCAUUUCUCCCAGGCCAUGACAGACUGCGCCCUCAAACCACAAAGCAGAACAGACCCUUCUUUCCUUAAGUUGCUGCUUGCUGAUCAAGCAUUUUGUCACAGCGAUGAGAAUUUUACUAAAACAGAAGCCAAGGCAAAAAAAAAAAAAAAA